rnacentral:rRNA from 1 species
UUAAGCGACUAAGCGUACACGGUGGAUGCCCUGGCAGUCAGAGGCGAUGAAGGGCGUGCUAAUCUGCGAUAAGCGCCGGUAAGGUGAUAUGAACCGUUAUAACCGGCGAUACCCGAAUGGGGAAACCCAGUGUGAUUCGUCACACUAUCAUUAACUGAAUCCAUAGGUUAAUGAGGCGAACCGGGGGAACUGAAACAUCUAAGUACCCCGAGGAAAAGAAAUCAACCGAGAUUCCCCCAGUAGCGGCGAGCGAACGGGGAGGAGCCCAGAGCCUGAAUCAGCAUGUGUGUUAGUGGAAGCGUCUGGAAAGGCGCGCGAUACAGGGUGACAGCCCCGUACACAAAAGCGUAUGUGCUGUGAGCUCGAUGAGUAGGGCGGGACACGUGGUAUCCUGUCUGAAUAUGGGGGGACCAUCCUCCAAGGCUAAAUACUCCUGACUGACCGAUAGUGAACCAGUACCGUGAGGGAAAGGCGAAAAGAACCCCGGCGAGGGGAGUGAAAAAGAACCUGAAACCGUGUACGUACAAGCAGUGGGAGCCCCACCACUAAGCCAGUGGUGAACUCCACAUACGCAUCCUUUGCUGAGGAUACGGUUAACGGAGCGAAAGCGACGUUCAACCUCAAAAGAAGCAGAGGGGGCUUAGUGGUGGGGUGACUGCGUACCUUUUGUAUAAUGGGUCAGCGACUUAUAUUCUGUAGCAAGGUUAACCGAAUAGGGGAGCCGGAGGGAAACCGAGUCUUAAUUGGGCGUUAAGUUGCAGGGUAUAGACCCGAAACCCGGUGAUCUAGCCAUGGGCAGGUUGAAGGUUGGGUAACACUAACUGGAGGACCGAACCGACUAAUGUUGAAAAAUUAGCGGAUGACCUGUGGCUGGGGGUGAAAGGCCAAUCAAACCGGGAGAUAGCUGGUUCUCCCCGAAAGCUAUUUAGGUAGCGCCUCGUGAAUUCAUCUCCGGGGGUAGAGCACUGUUUCGGCUAGGGGGCCAUCCCGGCUUACCAACCCGAUGCAAACUGCGAAUACCGGAGAAUGUUAUCACGGGAGACACACGGCGGGUGCUAACGUCCGUCGUGAAGAGGGAAACAACCCAGACCGCCAGCUAAGGUCCCAAAGUCAUGGUUAAGKGGGAAACGAUGUGGGAAGGCCCAGACAGCCAGGAUGUUGGCUUAGAAGCAGCCAUCAUUUAAAGAAAGCGUAAUAGCUCACUGGUCGAGUCGGCCUGCGCGGAAGAUGUAACGGGGCUAAACCAUGCACCGAAGCUGCGGCAGCGACGCUUAUGCGUUGUUGGGUAGGGGAGCGUUCUGUAAGCCUGUGAAGGUGGCCUGUGAGGGUUGCUGGAGGUAUCAGAAGUGCGAAUGCUGACAUAAGUAACGAUAAAGCGGGUGAAAAGCCCGCUCGCCGGAAGACCAAGGGUUCCUGUCCAACGUUAAUCGGGGCAGGGUGAGUCGACCCCUAAGGCGAGGCCGAAAGGCGUAGUCGAUGGGAAACGGGUUAAUAUUCCCGUACUUGGUGUUACUGCGAAGGGGGGACGGAGAAGGCUAUGUUGGCCGGGCGACGGUUGUCCCGGUUUAAGCGUGUAGGUGUGUGUUCCAGGUAAAUCCGGUUCACUUUAACACUGAGGCGUGACGACGAGGCACUACGGUGCUGAAGCAACAAAUGCCCUGCUUCCAGGAAAAGCCUCUAAGCAUCAGGUAACAUCAAAUCGUACCCCAAACCGACACAGGUGGUCAGGUAGAGAAUACCAAGGCGCUUGAGAGAACUCGGGUGAAGGAACUAGGCAAAAUGGUGCCGUAACUUCGGGAGAAGGCACGCUGACACGUAGGUGAAGUGAUUUACUCAUGGAGCUGAAGUCAGUCGAAGAUACCAGCUGGCUGCAACUGUUUAUUAAAAACACAGCACUGUGCAAACACGAAAGUGGACGUAUACGGUGUGACGCCUGCCCGGUGCCGGAAGGUUAAUUGAUGGGGUCAGCGCAAGCGAAGCUCCUGAUCGAAGCCCCGGUAAACGGCGGCCGUAACUAUAACGGUCCUAAGGUAGCGAAAUUCCUUGUCGGGUAAGUUCCGACCUGCACGAAUGGCGUAAUGAUGGCCAGGCUGUCUCCACCCGAGACUCAGUGAAAUUGAACUCGCUGUGAAGAUGCAGUGUACCCGCGGCAAGACGGAAAGACCCCGUGAACCUUUACUAUAGCUUGACACUGAACAUUGAGCCUUGAUGUGUAGGAUAGGUGGGAGGCUUUGAAGUGUGGACGCCAGUCUGCAUGGAGCCGACCUUGAAAUACCACCCUUUAAUGUUUGAUGUUCUAACGUGGACCCGUUACCCGGGUUGCGGACAGUGUCUGGUGGGUAGUUUGACUGGGGCGGUCUCCUCCUAAAGAGUAACGGAGGAGCACGAAGGUUGGCUAAUCCUGGUCGGACAUCAGGAGGUUAGUGCAAUGGCAUAAGCCAGCUUGACUGCGAGCGUGACGGCGCGAGCAGGUGCGAAAGCAGGUCAUAGUGAUCCGGUGGUUCUGAAUGGAAGGGCCAUCGCUCAACGGAUAAAAGGUACUCCGGGGAUAACAGGCUGAUACCGCCCAAGAGUUCAUAUCGACGGCGGUGUUUGGCACCUCGAUGUCGGCUCAUCACAUCCUGGGGCUGAAGUAGGUCCCAAGGGUAUGGCUGUUCGCCAUUUAAAGUGGUACGCGAGCUGGGUUUAGAACGUCGUGAGACAGUUCGGUCCCUAUCUGCCGUGGGCGCUGGAGAACUGAGGGGGGCUGCUCCUAGUACGAGAGGACCGGAGUGGACGCAUCACUGGUGUUCGGGUUGUCAUGCCAAUGGCACUGCCCGGUAGCUAAAUGCGGAAGAGAUAAGUGCUGAAAGCAUCUAAGCACGAAACUUGCCCCGAGAUGAGUUCUCCCUGAGACUUAGAGUCUCCUGAAGGAACGUUGAAGACGACGACGUUGAUAGGCCGGGUGUGUAAGCGCAGCGAUGCGUUGAGCUAACCGGUACUAAUGAACCGUGAGGCUUAACCUU